rnacentral:rRNA from 1 species
UACAGAGGUCUCGAGCGUUAGGCGGAAUCACUGGGCUUAAAGCGUGUGUAGGCGGAUCGGUAAGUACCUUGUGAAAUCCCACAGCUUAACUGUGGAACUGCUUGGUAUACUGCCAGUCUUGAGCCACUUAGGGGCUACCGGAACAAAUGGUGGAGCGGUGAAAUGCGUAGAUAUCGCUUGGAACGCCGAAGGUGAAAACAGGCUGCUGGGGUUGCGCCGACGCUGAGACACGAAAGCCCAGGGGAGCAAACGGG